ensembl:snRNA U1 U1 spliceosomal RNA
AUACUUACCUGGUAGAGGAGAUACUAUGAUCACGAAGGUGGUUUUCCCAGGGUGAGGUUUGUUUACUUAUUGCACUCCGGGUGUGUGGACCUCUGCGAUUUCCUCAAAUGGGGGAAACUAUACUGCAUGAUUUGUGGUAGUGGGGGACUGCAUUCACACUCUCCCCUG